rnacentral:rRNA from 1 species
GAUGAACGCUGGCGGCGUGCUUAACACAUGCAAGUCGAACGAUGAAGCCCAGCUUGCUGGGUGGAUUAGUGGCGAACGGGUGAGUAACACGUGAGUAACCUGCCCUUAACUCUGGGAUAAGCCUGGGAAACUGGGUCUAAUACCGGAUAGGAGCGCCUACCGCAUGGUGGGUGUUGGAAAGAUUUAUCGGUUUUGGAUGGACUCGCGGCCUAUCAGCUUGUUGGUGAGGUAAUGGCUCACCAAGGCGACGACGGGUAGCCGGCCUGAGAGGGUGACCGGCCACACUGGGACUGAGACACGGCCCAGACUCCUACGGGAGGCAGCAGUGGGGAAUAUUGCACAAUGGGCGAAAGCCUGAUGCAGCGACGCCGCGUGAGGGAUGACGGCCUUCGGGUUGUAAACCUCUUUCGGUAGGGAAGAAGCGAAAGUGACGGUACCUGCAGAAGAAGCACCGGCUAACUACGUG